rnacentral:rRNA from 1 species
UACGUAGGGCGCAAGCGUUGUCCGGAAUUUAUUGGGCGUAAAGAGCUCGUAGGCGGCUUGUCACGUCGGGUGUGAAAGCCCGGGGCUUAACCCCGGGUCUGCAUUCGAUACGGGCUAGCUAGAGUGUGGUAGGGGGAGAUCGGAAUUCCUGGUGUAGCGGUGAAAUGCGCAGAUAUCAGGAGGAACACCGGUGGCGAAGGCGGAUCUCUGGGCCAUUACUGACGCUGAGGAGCGAAAGCGUGGGGAGCGAACAGG